rnacentral:rRNA from 1 species
GACGAACGCUGGCGGCGUGCUUAACACAUGCAAGUCGAACGGAAAGGCCCUGCUUUUGUGGGGUGCUCGAGUGGCGAACGGGUGAGUAACACGUGAGUAACCUGCCCUUGACUUUGGGAUAACUUCAGGAAACUGGGGCUAAUACCGGAUAGGAGCUCCUGCUGCAUGGUGGGGGUUGGAAAGUUUCGGCGGUUGGGGAUGGACUCGCGGCUUAUCAGCUUGUUGGUGGGGUAGUGGCUUACCAAGGCUUUGACGGGUAGCCGGCCUGAGAGGGUGACCGGCCACAUUGGGACUGAGAUACGGCCCGGACUCCUACGGGAGGCAGCAGUGGGGAAUAUUGCACAAUGGGCGGAAGCCUGAUGCAGCAACGCCGCGUGCGGGAUGACGGCCUUCGGGUUGUAAACCGCUUUCGCCUGUGACGAAGCGUGAGUGACGGUAAUGGGUAAAGAAGCACCGGCUAACUACGUGCCAGCAGCCGCGGUGAUACGUAGGGUGCGAGCGUUGUCCGGAUUUAUUGGGCGUAAAGGGCUCGUAGGUGGUUGAUCGCGUCGGAAGUGUAAUCUUGGGGCUUAACCCUGAGCGUGCUUUCGAUACGGGUUGACUUGAGGAAGGUAGGGGAGAAUGGAAUUCCUGGUGGAGCGGUGGAAUGCGCAGAUAUCAGGAGGAACACCAGUGGCGAAGGCGGUUCUCUGGGCCUUUCCUGACGCUGAGGAGCGAAAGCGUGGGGAGCGAACAGGCUUAGAUACCCUGGUAGUCCACGCUGUAAACGGUGGGUACUAGGUGUGGGGUCCAUUCCACGGGUUCCGUGCCGUAGCUAACGCUUUAAGUACCCCGCCUGGGGAGUACGGCCGCAAGGCUAAAACUCAAAGGAAUUGACGGGGCCCCGCACAAGCGGCGGAGCAUGCGGAUUAAUUCGAUGCAACGCGUAGAACCUUACCUGGGUUUGACAUGGAUCGGGAGUGCUCAGAGAUGGGUGUGCCUCUUUUGGGGUCGGUUCACAGGUGGUGCAUGCCUGUCGUCAGCUCGUGUCGUGAGAUGUUGGGUUAAGUCCCGCAACGAGCGCAACCCUUGUUCACUGUUGCCAGCACGUUAUGGUGGGGACUCAAUGGAGACCGCCGGGGUCAACUCGGAGGAAGGUGGGGAUGACGUCAAGUCCUCAUGCCCCUUAUGUCCAGGGCUUCACGCAUGCUACAAUGGCUGGUACAGAGAGUGGCGAGCCUGUGAGGGUGAGCGAAUCUCGGAAAGCCGGUCUCAGUUCGGAUUGGGGUCUGCAACUCGACCUCAUGAAGUCGGAGUCGCUAGUAAUCGCAGAUCAGCAACGCUGCGGUGAAUACGUUCCCGGG